UACAGAGGUCUCAAGCGUUGUUCGGAUUCAUUGGGCGUAAAGGGUGCGUAGGUGGCGCCGUAAGUCGGGUGUGAAAUUUCGGAGCUUAACUCCGAAACUGCAUUCGAUACUGCCGUGCUUGAGGACUGGAGAGGAGACUGGAUUUACGGUGUAGCGGUGAAAUGCGUAGAUAUCGUAAGGAAGACCAGUGGCGAAGGCGGGUCUCUGGACAGUUCCUGACGCUGAGGCACGAAGGUCAGGGGAGCAAACGGG
rnacentral:rRNA from 1 species